AUGCCAUCAAUCACCAUGUUGGUAUCCUGUUUGCAUGUGAAUGUCAACAUGGCAGAGGAAAAUAACUCGCAUGGCCACUAUCUAUCACACAAGGAUAUCCUUUUAUCCGAGUAUGAACCAGGGAAGUGCUCCAUCACAUUUAUGCUUCAUCAUGGACGGCCCAAACUGAAGCUUUCUUCAUACAUGAGACGGAUAUUUCCUUCUAUAACUUCUCCAUAUCAUCUUUCCCCAAAAAAUAAGGUUAGUUUCUUAGUGAAGAGUCACUGUCUCAUAUGCAUACUACAGAUAAAUGUGGCGCCAGUUUGCCUUGAAAGUAUCACCUUCAUCUUUUCUGAAUUAGUCCUGGCUCUGGCCGCCGAACAUUUGCAUUAUCAUGCUGUGAGGCGUAAACCUGGAAAUGCUGGUGUUUGUUGUUCUUCAGGCAUAGUUUAA
rnacentral:rRNA from 1 species